UACCACCCUUUGUUUAUUACACUUUGUUGCUUUGGCAAGCCUGCCCUCGGGCUGCUGGCUCCGGCCGGCGAGCGCUUGCCAGAGGACCUAAACUCUGUUUGUCUAUACUGUCUGAGUACUAUAUAAUAGUUAAAACUUUCAACAACGGAUCUCUUGGUUCUGGCAUCGAUGAAGAACGCAGCGAAAUGCGAUAAGUAAUGUGAAUUGCAGAAUUCAGUGAAUCAUCGAAUCUUUGAACGCACAUUGCGCCCCCUGGUAUUCCGGGGGGCAUGCCUGUCCGAGCGUCAUUACAACCCUCAAGCUCAGCUUGGUGUUGGGCCCCGCCGCCCCGGCGGGCCCUAAAGUCAGUGGCGGUGCCGUCCGGCUCCGAGCGUAGUAAUUCUUCUCGCUCUGGAGGUCCGGUCGUGUGCUCGCCAGCAACCCCCAAUUUUUUUCAGGUUGACCUCGGAUCAGGUAGGGAUACCCGCUGAAUUUAAGCAUAUCAUUAA
rnacentral:rRNA from 1 species